GAGAUUGAAUUCAAAAUGGGAAUGAGAUUCUUCUCAACUAAAUAGAUUGCAUGAUAGCCACUUAUUUCUAUUUCUAAUUCUAUUUUAAAGUCCAAUUCUCUCAAAUCAAAUAUGUCCUAAAUAUAUUAGGAAUAUGACAAAUUCAAUUCUUAUUUUUAUUUAUUUCAAUUUCGAUCCUAAUUUCGACCGCAAAUCAAACACAUCC
rnacentral:lncRNA from 1 species